AGUGAACGCUGGCGGUAGGCCUAACACAUGCAAGUCGAACGGCAGCACAGUAAGAGCUUGCUCUUACGGGUGGCGAGUGGCGGACGGGUGAGGAAUACAUCGGAAUCUACUUUUUCGUGGGGGAUAACGUAGGGAAACUUACGCUAAUACCGCAUACGACCUACGGGUGAAAGCAGGGGAUCUUCGGACCUUGCGCGAUUGAAUGAGCCGAUGUCGGAUUAGCUAGUUGGCGGGGUAAAGGCCCACCAAGGCGACGAUCCGUAGCUGGUCUGAGAGGAUGGUCCGCCACACUGGAACUGAGACACGGUCCAGACUCCUACGGGAGGCAGCAGUGGGGAAUAUUGGACAAGGGGCGCAAGCCUGAUCCAGCCAUACCGCGUGGGUGAGAAGGCCUUCGGGUUGUAAAGCCCCUUUGUUGGGAAAGAAAAGCAGCAGGUUAAUACCCCGCUGUUCUGGCGGUACCCAAAGAAUAAGCACCGGCUAACUUCGUG
rnacentral:rRNA from 1 species